rnacentral:rRNA from 1 species
GAUGAACGCUGGCGGCGUGCCUAAUACAUGCAAGUCGAGCGAACAGACGAGGAUCUUGCUCCUCUCACGUUAGCGGCGGACGGGUGAGUAACACGUGGAUAACCUUCCUAUAAGACUUGGAUAACUGCGGGAAACCGGAGCUAAUACCGGAUGACAUAUUGAGCCGCAUGGUUCAAUAGUGAAAGAGGUGUUUGCUGUCACUUAUAGAUGUAUCCGCGCUGCAUUGGCUAGUUGGUAAGGUAACGGCUUACCAAGGCAACGAUGCGUAGCCGACCUGAGAGGGUGAACGGCGACACUGGAAGUGAGCCACGGUCCAGACUCCGACGGGAGGCAGAAGUAGGGAAGCUUCCGCAAUGGGCGAAAGCCUGACGGAGCAACGCCGCGUGAGUGAUGAAGGUCUUCGGAUCGUAAAACUCUGUUAUUAGGGAAGAACAAAUGUGUAAGUAACUAUGCACGUCUUGACGGUACCUAAUCAGAAAGCCACGGCUAACUACGUG